AUUGAACGCUGGCGGCAGGCUUAACACAUGCAAGUCGAACGAGUGGCGGACGGGUGAGUAAUGCUUGGGAAUCUGGCUUAUGGAGGGGGAUAACGACGGGCAACUGUCGCUAAUACCGCGUACCAUAGGAUGAGCCCAAGUGGGAUUAGGUAGUUGGUGGGGUAAUGGCCUACCAAGCCGACGAUCUCUAGCUGGUCUGAGAGGAUGAUCCGCCAGAGUGGGACUGUGACACGGCCCAGACUCCGACGGAAGGCAGCAGGGGGGAAUUUUGGACAAUGGGCGCAAGCUGAUCGAGCCAUGCCGCGUUUCUGAAGAAGGCCGUGGGGUUGUAAAGGACUUUUGUCAGGAAUACGGUACCUGAAGAAUAAGCACCGGCUAACUACGUGCCAGCAGCCGCGGUAAUAC
rnacentral:rRNA from 1 species